CAGCAAAGUCAAUCAGCCCACUCCUUGCCUUGCUGCCCAGUGGGAUCGCUGAUCUGUGAUGUCGGUUCCCCCGUCCCAUCUCUAUUUUCACUCCUGAAAUUUGCCGGCAACCCUUGUCUGUAUUCUCCUCUUCCAGUACCUUAGUCCUUGUGAACUAUGCCUUCUUUAUGGUCUCAAUCUCCUGACCUUGUGAUCCACCCGCCUCGGCCUCCCAAAGUGCUGGGAUUACAGACAUGAGCCACCACGCCUGACCUAAAAUCUUAACUUGUCUUUUCUCAUUCUUUGUCACCACUGGACUUUGGGUACCUACGGGUAGUGUUGAGGCUGGACCCCAACAAAAAGUGGCUCCCCCAUGCCCAUCAGCUGCCUGCUCCAUGCACGGAUCAUGUUCCUGUGCCCAGCUAGACCAGAAUGUGGAGGUCCUGGGGAUAAGGACUGGGUUUGACCCGUUCCUGUGUCCCCAGCACCCUCUGAACCACACUCUGUGCCAGGGGGCUGGGAAUUUUAACAGUGCUGAGUGGACAACUGCCCCUACCUUCAAGCCCUCCUGGCCUAGUGCAGGUUACCCACUGGGUUUGGAAGCAUUAUAGGACUAUGAAGUCACUUAGAGAGAUCAGGGGUCACUCACAAGGUUCACACCCGGGCUUCUGGGAUGAAGCUUAGAAGAGCUCACCAGAGGGCCGGGCGUGGUGGUUCACACCUGUAAUCCCAGCACUUUGGGAGGCUGAGGUGGGUGGAUCGAUUGAGCUCAGGAGUUUGAGACCAGCAUGGGGAACAUGGCAAAACCCCAUCUCUAUAAAAAAUACAAAAUUGAGUCCGGUGGGGUCGUGCAUGCCUCUAAUCCCAGUUACUUGGGAGGCUGAGGCAGACAGAUCACUUGAGUCCAGGAGUUCGAGACCAGCCUGGGCAACAUGGUGAAAUCCUGUCUCUACCAAAAGAUAAAAAGUUAGCCAGGCAUGGUGACACACGCCUGUAAUCCCAGGUGCUUGGGAGGCUGAGGCACGAGAAUCCCUUGAACCUGGGAGGCGGAGGUUANNNNNNNNNNAUAAAUAAAUUUGACCUUAUGAUGCGUCGCAGAGUGGGCUAAGGCCCAUGUUUCAGGACACGUACGCAGUCCGUGCCAGAAGGAGGUUUCGACAACGAGGGGCACAGGUCACGCAGGAUGAAUAUCAUCUAUCCGCAUUUUCACACGAGGAGACAUGAGGCUGACUGAGUCUGAAUAAAGAAGAAAAAAAAUGUCCAGGCACAGUGGAUCACACCUGUAACGACAGCAUAGUGGGAGUCCGAGGCACGCAGAUCACUGACGGUCAGGAAUUUGAAACCAGCACGGCCUACACGUUGAGGGCCCACCUGUACUACACAUAUAAAAAUCAGGAGUACAUGGGGGUGCAGGGCUCCUGCAAUACCACCGGCUAAUGAGGUAGAGGCAGGAGAGUCGGGGGAACAUCAGAGGGGUCGGUCGCAUCUAAGAGUCAUGGCGUCAGGUCAUUCCACCCCGGUGACUGAGCAAGGGUUCGUAUCACUGGCGUGAGCCACCGCGCCCGGUGAAAGGCCAUUUAAAGAA
rnacentral:lncRNA from 1 species